rnacentral:tRNA from 1 species
GCGGCCGUGGUCUAGCCUGGUCUAGGACCCAGGCCUUCCAUGCCUGUGAUCCCGGGUUCAAAUCCCGGCGGCCGCACCA